AGUGCAGCGGCCACAUCCUUGUCUUCGCCGGACCACGGGGCACUGAGGGCAGCCUCUGGACCAGCCGCAAGAGACCAGCCACCCUGCUUUCUGGGCCCCCGUCCACGACACCCCGGUGGCAGCAGCCCCAGGGAGACCCGCCGUCCCAGAUCUGCUGAGACAGCCAGGACGGCUGAGACCUUUGGACACCAUCGCCAAGAAAGGGGAAGUGCAUCUUCAGACCCUCCUUGGUGUGGCCUUGCCCAGACUCGGGACCCACGAGCCAGCUGGCAGAGGCCACCUCCGCUUCCCUGUGCGUAAGUCCCUGGGAAUUCCCGAGAAUCCUCUUGGGGGAAGGCCGGACACUGCAGCCCUGCGGGCAGGGCCAGGGGCAUUCUCCACCAGAGGGACAAAUUGGGCCCGUGAGGCCUCUCUCCUACUUAGCCUUUGGGAAGGGAUCUUGGCAUCCUGGAUCAUUCUGUGGAUUCCCGAGGCAGCUCAGGGGCGCACCAGCGGGCAUACUGCUGCCUCCGAGAGCUGGGCAAGAUGCUCUUCGGGGUCAAGGACAUCGCUCUGUUGGAGCACGGGUGCAAGGCGCUCGAGGUGGACAGUUACAAGUCCCUCAUGAUCCUGGGGAUACCGGAAGACUGCAACCAUGAGGAAUUCGAGGAGAUCAUACGGGUCCCCCUGAAGCCUCUGGGCAAGUUCGAAGUGGCCGGGAAGGCCUUUCUGGAAGAAGAGAGAUCCAAGGCAGCCAUCAUUAGGCUGGAGGAGGACCUCAACUAUGCCGUGAUCCCCAGGGAGAUCAAGGGCAAGGGCGGCAUGUGGAGAGUGGUCUACAUGCCCCGGAAGCAGGACGUCGAGUUCCUGACCAAGCUGAACCUGUUCCUGCAGAGCGAGGGCAGGACAGUGGAGGAUGUGGCCCGGGUCCUGAGGCAGGAACUGUGCCCCACAGGGACGGGACCCAGCGAGCUGCCUGCCAGAAAGUGCCAGGUGCCCGGGCCAGGGGAGAAGCUGGGGGCCAGGGCCCCGGCGGGCACCGACGGGGCCCGACCUCUGGACUCCACAGAGAAGCAGGGCAAGGCUGGAGAUGACAAGAGAGGCAAGCGAAAGCACAAGAAAAGCCGUCGACGGCACCAUGCGUCUGACAAGAAGUUGUGAGAUAUCUACUGCACACCUACUACGUCCCAGGCACUGUUCUAGGAGCUGGGAGAAGGGAGCAAACCCAACACAGAUCCCUGCCUUCACAGCCCUCACAGAGACUGGGGAGCAUGAUGGACCUUGAAGAUAGCUCUGGCACAAACUCGUCCAGAGUGAACCACUGUGUUUUGCAGAAAUCACACCUGACGAAGUGAGUUGCCUGCUUGCCACACGUGAGGCGCUCAGUGCUCUGUGUUUGACUCUGUCCAAAGCUGUCGCUGUCCUGUACGCACUAGGUCUCCCUUGCAGGGGAUGGUCAGACGUGGGACUCCUCUGCUCCGAUGGGCCCUUCGGGUCAGGAUACGGUUCUCCCCAAAUUCAAUUCCAGAAGCUCUGACUUGGCCAGAGGGGGCACCCCUCUUGUAAAGAACAAAAGGCAAGAUUUUCAGGAAAUAGUCCGAAAAGAGGUAAAUAAUUAAGAGGUCAUCGUCAGGAGUUAUCCAUUAACAGCAUUAACUUUGAGUCCCCCGGAUGGUAAAGAACAACAAAAACGAAGAAAUGAAUCAGGUAAAACCCAAAUGUCCGUGGGUAGACCGAGCUCUUAUUCGGGGACAUCUGGUCUGCGAAUUUCCAAACUUCCAUUAGUUCAGGGAUUUGCAAAGGUUUGAGCUGAAUUUCUUUGGUUUUUAAAAAAUGCAAUUUACACACACAUUCAGAUUCUUACCUACCAAAUCGUGAUGGUGGAGACCACCAACGUAUUAAUGUGGUGGGCUUCAGUCACGUCUGUGAAUUCCAGCAUCCGACCCUGUUCUUAUAUCUGCUACACCCUGAGCCCCGCCCCCCCCAGCAGAGCCAAAAGGUGGAGAUUCUCUCUCCACCCACCCCUUCACCUUGGCAGCCAGGGUGCAGGCAAGGGACCCACCCUCAGGCAGUCAGAAAUCCCUCUUAGGUCCUCGCAUUCCCGGCGAGUGUCAAGACAGAAGGAAUUUUUAGAGUUCACGUGCUUCGACAACCUAAACACCUGAAAGACUGAGUUCUGGAAACUCCCCCUGCUGUCUCUGAAUCAUCAGCUUCCCCAUCCUCUUCUGCUGUGGGAUGCUUGGGACAAAGCUUUUCCUGCCAUCCCCACAUACAUAUUUACUCCUCUUGCAAGCCUAUCUGUGGUCAUAGCGCUCUCCUGAUCUUUUUCUCCCUUGUAAGUUUCCAGCCUGGGCAACUGCACUCACAGCGUAUCGUGUUGCUGUGUUCGCUGUUUUCUGAGAGUCUGGGCUUGACUGCGACCUCAGGCACAUGAGCUAGUGGCCUGCCAUUCUCCCACCAAGGCACAGUCAUCGUGUCAUAACACGGGACAGUGUGACACGCGUAUCGUCUUCUUGCAGUAUCGAGACUGUAUAUUUGUGCUUAUUGUGGGUUUGGGGUGUUUCCCGUACGACAUCCAUACGUGUGAUACACAACGUGAGCAUGUGUCAGUGUUCAAUGUUGCCCCUAAAACCCAACCUCCUACCCCUUCUCGAGGUUUUCCGGAAGAGUUUCCUGACGUAGAAACACAAGCAGCUGUGUCACCCAGUUACCACCCGAAGCCAGUUAUCUGUCUGGCUGACACACAGCGAAUCCUAAGUGAAAAUUCCCAGAUCAGCUGGACGUGCUGCCUGAGAGAUGCCUGCAGCUGGCCUCGAUAAACCCCCAUUUUCAAGAGCGGGUUCCGUUCAAACUCAUCCCCGUUCUUUGUGGUUGAUGCUCUAUUGUACAAAUAUGAACUUAUAAAAUAAAUGUAUUGAAAGCAAUCACAGCAUGCUCUUUGAUAACACCCCUCGGGGGAUGGCACCCAGCCUGUGUCCUCACACGAACAGGGCACAGGAUGGAGAGCAUGUCCAAGGAUUCAGAGCUGCGCAGACAGACCUGGGUGCCAGUCUUGACUCUGCCACCAACUGGUUGUGUGCCUCUGGGGAGGUGACUUCACCUUUCUGGGCCUCAGUUUCCUUAUUUGUAAAGCGGUGCUAAUACAACCCAUGCCACAGUUUCUUUGCAGCAGGGAGAGUGUAUACCAUGCAUUAAAAACGUAGGUUCUGGAAGGGUACCUGGGUGGCUCCGUCUAAACGUUUGCCUUUGGCUCAGGUCAUCUCUCUCUCUCUCUCUCUUCCCUCAAAUAAAUAAAUAAAAUCUUAAAAAAAUAAACAGAGGCUCUGGAGUAUUCACGACAGCAUUAUUCAUAAGUAUCCAGGACUGGAACAACCUGGAUCCCUACUGACAGGUGAACAGAUAAACAAAUUGUGGUAGAUUGACACCAUACAUUGUUGCACGGCAACAAAAAGAAUGACCUACAGUU